GGGCCAUGGCUCAGUGGCAGAGCAUCUGCCUUGCAUGCAGAAUGCCCUGGGUUCAAUCCCCGGCAUCUCCA